rnacentral:piRNA from 1 species
CGAGGAAGCCAGAUACCCGUCGCCGCGU